AGUAGAAACUUUGGCCUCGGGUUGUUUGUCGAAGCCAGCAUAAUUUAGGAUGAGGCCGCCUCCUCUUCCUUUUUCUUCUUCAGCUCCAUCUCAGUUUGCAUGCGCAUCGACUGAAGUACGUGCGGGAGCCAAAGCAUGUCCCCAGCCACCAAGAGAGCCCAACCCAAAACAGCAGGUGCGGUACCCAGGGAACAAGGGAUCACCGGCCCCACGCAGGCAGGCCGACCAGCGACAGGACUCCCAGAACCGGCCCCACUGUGCCGCCGGGCAGGCCAGCGGCAGGUCAUAGACAUACUUCAGGCUCCUCGAUCAGACUUGCAUUUUGGCCUGCAAGUCAAGAAGUUUGGCCGCCCCACUUGUAGUCAGAGCAAAUCAAAAACUACAUGAGAUUUGGCCUCAGUCCAUCGCUAAAUCCCAUUGUCCAUGCACACUCUCUCAUGCAGACCUGUGGACCUGUGAAUAAAUGUCCGUCUUUUGGAUAUUGUCCCGCCGCGGGAACUGGCUACUGCUUCACUGACUUCAUGCAUGCGGUCUGGCAGGUGCGGUUGCAGUAAAAGGCAAACUGGCACUGGGCACAGCGAUGUAACUGGGCCUGCUGGCGGAAGCAGCUGUGGCACACCUGCAUGAACAAGCUGACAGAAAG